UAGGGAAUCUUCCACAAUGGACGCAAGUCUGAUGGAGCAACGCCGCGUGAGUGAAGAAGGUUUUCGGACCGUAAAGCUCUGUUGUUGGUGAAGAAGGAUAGAGGUAGUAACUGGCCUUUAUUUGACGGUAAUCAACCAGAAAGUCACGGCUAACUACGUGCCAGCAGCCGCGGUAAUACGUAGGUGGCAAGCGUUGUCCGGAUUUAUUGGGCGUAAAGCGAGCGCAGGCGGAAGAAUAAGUCUGAUGUGAAAGCCCUCGGCUUAACCGAGGAAUUGCAUCGGAAACUGUUUUCUUGAGUGCAGAAGAGGAGAGUAGAACUCCAUGUGUAGCGGUGGAAUGCGUAGAUAUAUGGAAGAAUACCAGUGGCGAAGGCGGCUCUCUGGUCUGCAACUGACGCCGAGGCUCGAAAGCAUGGGUAGCGAAACAGGAUUAGAUACCCUGGUAGUCCAUGCCGUAAAACGAUGAGUGCUAAGUGUUGGGAGGCUUCCGCCUCUCAGUGCUGCAGCUAACGCAUUAAGCACUCCGCCUGGGGGAGUACGACCGCAAAGGUUGAAAC
rnacentral:rRNA from 1 species